CCUCAAGCAUUGCAUCCCUCAUUCUCUCCAGAGAUUUAUUAAUCCGCAUAUAUCGGAUGUGUUCUAUUUUCUAGUGCUUCUAAGAAGAGGAGGAUGUCUUCCCCAAAUUCAACUUCAUCUCUAAUUUCCAGAUCUGCAACUAGGUUUCACUCAAAUUCCAAUACUUUCAACACCACAAGCUAUCAAUUCCGGUAGGAAUCAUCUGUUUUUCAUAUCAGCGGCUGUUGUUCUCCUUUUCGUAGCUUAUUUUUCAACUUAUUAAUGUGUAUAUAUAUACACACAUCGUACAAAUCUUAUUUCACCCCUCUAUCUUAGCUCUGCAUCAAAACCCUAAAUACAUCUCUACUCAAAUCUACCAGAUUUCGAGGAUGACAAUUCUUCUCAUGCUAGAAGUGAUAACAUUGACUGGAAUACUGAAGAUGAGUUUGAGAUAGCGAAUAUAUCAUAACCUUUGUCAUUUUCCAUGAGUACCACUGCUAAUGCAGCAGGAGUUACAACUGAAGUUGGGGAGGUAGUUAUAUAAAUAUAAUUCCACACACUGGUCCACAUGGAUUGUUAUUAGAUUUUGUCUGUUUUUGCAAACUUGCUAUUGUUUCUUUAAUUUGGUGGAUGUUGUCAAGUUCUUCUAGCAGUUAUCCCUCCAAGAUUGUUAAUGACUUUCUCAAAAUGGGAUUUUCCGAAGCAAUGGUGACUAACGUCAUAUUCUUUGAAUAUGGAAGUGGAAGCUCACGAGACUGGGUUGCUAAAGAUCCAAAGCUAGAUAUAUUCGAAAAUUGGAGAUAACAUCGUAAUCAGAGAAGAAACUUUUAGUCGGUAACGAGGUACAUGCAAGGAGGAAGGUGUUGUUAUCAGAUUCUGUUGGUCUAUGUCAAUCUAAGAACAAAGGUCUAGAAUUUUGACUAAAGUCGCGUGACUAUUCAACGCGUGGAGCGAAUUAGGGAGCUGUGAUCAUACGGAUGACUAAAGUCGCGUGAACAUUGAGCGCGUGGAACGAAUUAGGGAGCUGGUCGUUAGGUAUCUUUGGAGCUUGCACGAGCAGGAGGAGUCAAUGUGGAGCAUGUACGGUUGUGUGCCAUGUUACAUUUAAACUUAUUGAACUUAUAUUUUGGUUUUAUGUUUUAUGCUUCCGCUAUUUAACUUGAAC